UACGGGGGGUGCGAGCGUUAAUCGGAAUAACUGGGCGUAAAGGGCACGCAGGCGGGUUUGUAAGUGAGGUGUGAAAUCCCCGGGCUUAACCUGGGAAUAGCAUUUCAGACUGGGAGUCUAGAGUACUUUAGGGAGGGGUAGAAUUCCACGUGUAGCGGUGAAAUGCGUAGAGAUGUGGAGGAAUACCGAAGGCGAAGGCAGGCGCUUGGGAAUGUACUGACGCUCAUGUGCGAAAGCGUGGGGAGCAAACAGG
rnacentral:rRNA from 1 species